GACGUAGGGGGCCAGCGUUGUUCGGAAUUACUGGGUGUAAAGGGUUCGUAGGCGGUGCGGCAAGUUGGGAGUGAAAUCUCUGGGCUUAACCCAGAGGCUGCUUCCAAAAACUGCUGUGCUUGAGUGUGGGAGAGGCGCGUGGAAUUGCAGGUGUAGCGGUGAAAAUGCGUAGAGAUCUGGAAGAACACCAAUGGCGAAGGCAGCGUCCUGGGAAGUGACUGACGCUCAUGUGCGAAAAGCUAGGGGGAGCGAAACGGGG
rnacentral:rRNA from 1 species